rnacentral:rRNA from 1 species
UUUUCCGGUUGAUCCCGCCGGACCCCACUGCUAUCGAGGUGGGACUAAGCCAUGCUAGUCGAACGAUCCCGAACUAUGAUGGGGAAGUGGCAUACUGCUCAGUAACACGUAGCUAACCUACCCUCACGACGGAAACUACCCCGGUGAAACUGCGGGCUAAUACCCGAUAGGUGUGAAUGCCUGGAAUGGCUUCACUGCCUAAAUGUUUUUGCGUCCAUGUUACAUAUUCACGCCUGAGGAUGGGGCUGCCGCCGAUCAGGCUGUUGGCGAGGUAACGGCUCACCAAACCUUUGACCGGCACGGGCCGUGAGAGCGGGACCCCGGAGAGGGCCACUGACACAAGGGCCCUGCCCCUAGGGGGCGCAGCAGGCGCGAAACCUCCACAAUGCCCGAAAGUGUGAUGGGGUUACUUCGAGUGCCGUCUGAAGAAGGGGGCUUUUCCUUGGUGUAACAAGCCGUGGGAAUAAGGGGGGGGCAAGUCUGGUGUCAGCCGCCGCGGUAACACCAGCUCCGCGAGUGGUGGGGAUGUUUAUUGGGCCUAAAGCGUCCGUAGCCGGUUUGGUAAGUCUCUCGUUAAAUCCAGCGUCUUAAGCGUUGGGCUGCGAGGGAGACUGUAGAGCUAGAGGGUGGGAGAGGUCAGCGGUAUUUCUGGGGUAGGGGUGAAAUCCUUUGAUCCCAGGAGGACCACCAGUGGCGAAGGCUGCUGACUAGAACACGCUUGACGGUGAGGGACGAAAGCUGGGGGAGCGAAUCGGAUUAGAUACCCGAGUAGUCCCAGCUGUAAACGAUGCAGGCUAGGUGUUGGGGCGGUCUGCGUGCCGCUUCAGUGCCGCAGGGAAGCCAUUAAGCCUGCCGCCUGGGGAGUACGGUCGCAAGGUUGAAACUUAAAGGAAUUGGCGGGGGAGCACCACCAGGGGUGAAGCCUGCGGUUUAAUUGGAGUCAACGCCGGGAAUCACUAGU